rnacentral:lncRNA from 1 species
CUGCUCUCUCCAUCACUCUUUGUGGUGGUGGGGACCCAGGAGUUUCUUUCUUUUUGUGACUCCCCUCUGAUCUGACAUGUUGCUUCAAGGAGAUUUACUCCACCAGCAGAAGAUAUUUUCUUUAAGCUCUGAACAGAGGGAGACACUCUGGAUGGGCAUAAGUUCAAAGGGGCACUCAAGGUUGGGUGCAGAUUUCCAGCAUUGGGACUUUGGCUGUCUACAGAAUCAAAUCACAGAGAGCAAACCACAUCGACCUAAGGCGGGAAGUAGACACUGAGAGCACAGAAUCAUCUAGAUCCAAUGCCAAGAAAAAAUUCAGGAUGACUGGUGAUGACCACAGAGGCAGGGGUUGACCUUGGCAUGUUUGAUGACUGAUAAAAUUCUGAGCACUCCACAGUGCUUGCUUUAUGGACUUUGAAACAAAUGGUUCUCACCCAUCUAUUUCACCAUGGAAGUCGUCACGUGCUUGGGGUAUCUGGAAAUGUCACCGAUUGAUUUCUUUCAGGGAAAGAUUUAUGGAAUCACACAAAAGGCUGAACACUCAACAAGAGAACGUGAAGAGAUUCAAAGUAUCCUUCAUUUCACUUGAGAUCCUUAAAGAGAAUAAAGGGCCUCUAAAGGAAGCAGAUGGAAGUCUAUAAUGGGAAAAAUGUUUCUGAAUUGGAGCAUAGGAGAUUCAACCCUUGUCAAGAUGAUGAGACAUAGUAAGAAAAGGAAAAAAAGACAGUUGCACAAUGGGAGAUUAAAAAGACUUUUGCAAUUCUUUCUGAAGAAGAUUCUCUUAGGGGGAAGAAGCUCUGUAACCUCCUGAGAAUGAAUGGAGUGAUAGAGUUACAAAAAUUCAUCAGGUGUGAGAGAAAGACAGAGAGAUAGAGGUACAGAAAGUAGAGGAAGAUGGAAAGACAAAGAGAUACACACAAAAACAGAAAGGAUAUAUAUUGGGGGAGAGAGAAAGAGAGAGGAAAGAGAGAGAUACAGAGAAACAGAGAUGGAGAUCUCCUGUCUUCCUCUGCACAGGCAUUUAUUUACUUCAUUGGAUAUACGUUAUGGAGUACUUUCUAACACAAUAAAAUGGAUGACAAC